UACGAAGGGGGCUAGCGUUGUUCGGAAUUACUGGGCGUAAAGCGAGUGUAGGUGGUUGUCAUAGUCAGGUGUGAAAGCCUUGAGCUCAACUCAAGAAAUGCACUUGAUACUGGGCGACUAGAGGACCGGAGAGGAUAGUGGAAUUCCCAGUGUAGUGGUGAAAUACGUAGAGAUUGGGAAGAACACCAGUGGCGAAGGCGGACUAUCUGGACGGUUUCUGA
rnacentral:rRNA from 1 species